rnacentral:rRNA from 1 species
UACAGAGGGCGCGAGCGUUAAUCGGAAUUACUGGGCGUAAAGCGUGCGUAGACGGUUAUUUAAGUCGGGUGUGAAAGCCCCGGGCUCAACCUGGGAAUUGCAUUCGAGACUGAAUAGCUAGGGUACGGUAGAGGGAAGUGGAAUUUCCGGUGUAGCGGUGAAAUGCGUAGAUAUCGGAAGGAACAUCAGUGGCGAAAGCGACUUCCUGGACCAGUACCGACGUUCAGGCACGAAAGCGUGGGGAGCAAACAGG